CACUAAACUAGGGGGGGGUGGGGGGGGGGCGAACGGGUGGAGGUAAUACAUCGGAACGUACCCAGGAGUGGGGGAUAACGUAGCGAAAGUUACGCUAAUACCGCAUAUUCUGUGAGCAGGAAAGCGGGGGAUCGCAAGACCUCGCGCUCUUGGAGCGGCCGAUGUCGGAUUAGCUAGUUGGUGAGGUAAAAGCUCACCAAGGCGACGAUCCGUAGCAGGUCUGAGAGGAUGAUCUGCCACACUGGGACUGAGACACGGCCCAGACUCCUACGGGAGGCAGCAGUGGGGAAUUUUGGACAAUGGGGGCAACCCUGAUCCAGCCAUGCCGCGUGAGUGAAGAAGGCCUUCGGGUUGUAAAGCUCUUUCGGCGGGGAAGAAAUGGCAACGGCUAAUAUCCGUUGUUGAUGACGGUACCCGCAUAAGAAGCACCGGCUAACUACGUGCCAGCAGCCGCGGUAAUACGUAGGGUGCGAGCGUUAAUCGGAAUUACUGGGCGUAAAGCGUGCGCAGGCGGUUUCGUAAGACAGACGUGAAAUCCCCGGGCUCAACCUGGGAACUGCGUUUGUGACUGCGAGGCUAGAGUACGGCAGAGGGGGGUAGAAUUCCACGUGUAGCAGUGAAAUGCGUAGAGAUGUGGAGGAAUACCGAUGUCGAAGGCAGCUCCUUGGGUUAGUACUGACGCUCAUGCACGAAAGCGUGGGGAGCAAACAGGAUUAGAUACCCUGUUAGUCCACGCCCCUAAACGAUGUCAACUAGUUGUCGGGGAUACAUUUCCUUGGGAACGCAGCUUACGCGUGAAGUUGACCGU
rnacentral:rRNA from 1 species